rnacentral:rRNA from 1 species
AGUGAACGCUGGCGGUAGGCCUAACACAUGCAAGUCGAACGGCAGCACAGUAAGAGCUUGCCCUUACGGGUGGCGAGUGGCGGACGGGUGAGGAAUACAUCGGAAUCUACUUUUUCGUGGGGGAUAACGUAGGGCAACUUACGCUAAUACCGCAUACGACCUACGGGUGAAAGCAGGAGAUCUUCGGACCUUUCGCGACAGAAUGAGCCGAUGUCGGAUUAGCUAGUUGGCGGGGUAAGGGCCCACCAAGGCAACGAUCCGUAGCUGGUCUGAGAGGAUGAUCAGCCACACUGGAACUGAGACACGGUCCAGACUCCUACGGGAGGCAGCAGUGGGGAAUAUUGCACAAUGGGCGCAAGCCUGAUCGAGCCAUACCGCGUGAGUGAAGAAGGUCUUCGGGUUGUAAAGCUCUGUUAUUGGGAAAGAAAAGCAGCGGGAGUAUCCACCGCUGUUCUGACGGUACCCAAAGAAUAAGCACCGGCUAACUUCGUG